CCCGCAGGGGGCUCGUAGGGAGAGGCUUCGGGGCUCCGAGUUCGCCGGCCGCUGCCGCUGUGACCUCCGGGCGCCGUACUGAGGGACUGAAGUGAGUGCAACGCGCACGGGCGAACAGAGGUGCAAAGGAAAGAAUUCCACUCGAGAUUCCGGCUGUAAAAGGCGGGAGAGUUUUGUGGGAGAUCAUUGAGUCCAAAGAAGAAACUGCAGCCGAAGCUCAUAUCUUCUCAGGUUCCGUCUAGCUGCUUCUAAAAGUCGUCACCAUCGUCAACAGCGUUUGCCAGAAGAGAAACUGGACUUCUGGAGACAAGCUUGUGUUCUUUCCUCCAAAGGCCUAAAUGGGAUGUCUGAACAAAAUGAAUUUCAUUACAAGGCUUUCUGCUUUGUGUCUGAGAAAAAAAAGCAAUAUGCAGCAAAGGCACCAGAGAAGUCGGCGGCCAGCUGUUCCACUUGGAUCACGGAUUUUAACUGACCCUUCGAAAGUUUUUGAGCAUAACAUGUGGGACCACAUGCAGUGGUCACAGGAAGAGGAGGAGCGUGCCAAGGAAAAAGCAGCAGAGAACUCGCUUGUGAAAGUCCAAUUGGAAGAACAAGAUAAGUAUGAGAGAGAAGCCAGUAAAUACUGGAAUGAAUUUUACAAGACUCACAAAAAUAACUUCUUCAAAGAUCGCAAUUGGUUGUUCUUGGAAUUUCCAGAAAUCCUUCCAGAAAAAAUGAGAGAACAGUUGAAAAUAGAGGAAAGACCUUCAGAACACACAAAAAUAAAUAUUACCAACAGUUUUUCACAUGAGAAAGAAAUGUUUGAGGAAAGAGAAAAGUAUUGGAAGAAAAAUACUGGAGAUGAAUCCACUUCUGAAAAAGGAUAUGUGUAUAAUAAAAAACAAUCAAAAUCGAUUGCUGACAGCCCUCAGGGUAAAAACAACGAGGAAGAAAUUAAUAUGCAGGAAUCCUUCCCUGGUGGCUGUGCCACUUACAGAAUAUUAGAGGUUGGUUGUGGUGCUGGCAAUAGCGUAUUUCCUAUUUUGAAAGUUCUAUGUGCACCUGGAACCUUUCUGUACUGUUGUGAUUUUGCUUCAGGAGCAGUGGAGCUCGUAAAGUCACAUUCGUCCUACAAUUCAGCCUGGUGUUCUGCCUUUGUUCAUGAUGUGUGUGAUGAUGCUUUACCCUAUCCUUUUCCAGAUGAGAUCCUGGAUGUCAUUCUCCUUGUCUUUGUGCUCUCAACUAUUCAUCCUGACAGGAUGCAACAGGUUGUAAAUAGAUUGGUUAAACUACUGAAACCUGGAGGGAUGCUGUUAUUUCGAGACUAUGGAAGAUAUGAUACAGCUCAGCUUCGUUUUAAAAAAGGUCAUUGCUUGUCAGAAAAUUUUUAUGUACGAGGAGAUGGAACCAGAGUAUAUUUCUUUACCAAAGAAGAGGUACGGAACAUGUUCAAUUCGGCUGGAUUAACUGAAGUACAAAAUUUAGUUGAUCGUCGAUUACAAGUAAAUAGGAAGAAAAAAGUGAAAAUGCAGCGAGUUUGGGUACAAGGCAAAUUCCAAAAACCAUUGCUGCUAUCUCUUAAUAAUCCUGAAGAAACCACCAGUAGGCAUCCUUACGGAUAACUGUACUGUUAACUUAAGAAAAAGAAACAGAUCUGACAAAACCGAGGCAGGUGGUUGUGCAAUAUCUACAAAUCCACCAAAUCUGAAGAGGACAAAGGAAAUGCAGGGCAGGCAAGGAAACAGCUGGAGCUCUAGACACAGGGAACUAUGUUUUUACCUUCUUUCGUGUAGAUCUCUAAAGUGACAGAAGAUACAAUCCUCACCUCCUGGGAAGCGAAUACAAAAGAAUAACACUAGUCUGCAUACCCUGACUGUGCUCAAUCAAGUUUUCUUUCCCAUGAUUCCUGACUCAAAACUGAUACAGCAAAUCCUGAUUUGCCACCUGGGAAACACGGAAAAAUUUUGCCACCGGCUUCACCCAAGACAAGAAUUCAUCAUAAAGAAACUUCAGUCAGAUCUGCAGCUAUUGUGCAUCCCCAUCCAGUACUUUGAUGAAAUGCUGCUGUAUGGCAGAUUACAAGCAAGAGGUGGAUGCAUCUGGUUUGUUUUAAAGCCUCUUCCAUUAGGGACAGGUAAGCAUCACUGUCAUCUUUUCAUACUGUAGCACAUUUUAAUAUCUUCUCUUAUUCUUUGGGUUGGUUUCCAUUUCCAGUCCUUAACUUAUGACCUCUUUUUGAUUUAGACUUUGAUUACACUCCAGAAGAGAGAAUUCACUUGAACUACAAAAUCCAUUUGUUAUGGUACUAAUAAAAAUUGUGCCUACUGAAAACUGCAGUGGAAGAGAAAGGGAGGAAGCCUAACAGGCUUGACACCACCUUUUGUCUGUAUUGUAGCAAGGGAAGAGGGAAAGAUAUCCAGGAAUUGUCUUAUCAUCAUAUCAUAUACAUGAGCAUUUUUGUUUUUCUAAUCUCUUUGAUUUUUCAAUGCUUCUCUUAACCCUUUCUUCUUGAAGCAAGGAAGGAAAAUGAUAUUACAAGUACUCAAUUUUUUUCUUUCUCAAGAGCAGCUAGUGUCCCUUGUGUUGAGAAGGAAUUGGGACCAUGUGGAAAGCUAGAUUUCAACUGAGGGCAGUUUGUGGGGUUUUGCCUAUAACUAAGGUUUAGCUGAGUUGCAGCUGAAGUAUAGUUUAGCAGAGUGCAGAUUCUGCAUUUUCCUACACUCAUGUAUUGCUUUCUUACCUCUCCUAAUUUUCUGCUUUUCCUUUCCUUCUCUGAAGGCGCCAAAUGGAAAGCUGUAUAAUCUUUUUGAAUAUAUUCUAUGAUUCUUGCUGAUGAAUUAGAUGAACAGCUGCUUGGAACAGCCUGGGAAUACAAUUUGGUGAAAAAAAAGAGAUGAGAUACAAACAGAUUCCCUUAUGAUGCCAUUCAUUCCAUAUGCAAUAUUAUCCCAGAGGGGUGGAAACAUGGCAAGACCUAAAAUUCAAUUUGAAUUUGAGCUGGUUUUUAAAGAAGCAAUUCUACAUACACUGCACCCACAAAACCAUGUGCAAAUUGGCACACACUUUCUCUUUUUUUGUAAGAACAGCCUCGUUGGUUGUAUGCAUUUUUCUCUCUGUGCGGAAGAACUUUUACAGGGACAACUAUUGUAAUUUCUUUUCACUAUUUCCCAAAGUUAUGCUAAUUCUUACAUUAUUUGAUUCUCAUCAUUUCUGUGUGCUUUAAGCAAGGUGUGAAGGAAAAAAAUGGCUCACAUUUUGGCAUACAAGACAAUCAAAAAUCCAUUCCAGUAAAUGAAAAGGAACUCAUUGAUAUGUGUCAGUGUUCCUGUAAUAUCCUCCUGAUCACAUUCUGCAUUGUAAUUUUGUGUUAAGACUGGAAAUUAAAGCUGAUCUACUUCUCAGUUGCCUUAUGAAUGUUGUACACCAACUGAGCAAUGGGCAUUUUGUUUUCUUGUCUUGCUGCUUCAGUAAACUCCUUCCCAAGUUCUCUUCAGCUAGCAGCCUCUUGGGAAACACACACAGUAUUAAACAUGCCUGUCUAUAGAGAUGGGAGAGACAAAGAAUUACACUGAUCUUGGAUAAAUUAUCAUUUAGUUCUGAUCAUUCACACUACUUUAGAAAGGUUGAUGAGAUUUUUUCGAUGGGAAUCUUGCAUCAGUACAGGUUGGGGCUGCCCUGCUGGAGAGGAGCUCUGCAGAAGAGAACCUGGGGGUCCUG